rnacentral:misc_RNA from 1 species
GAAAUGCGAUAAGUAGUGUGAAUUGCAGAAUCCAGUGAAUCAUCGAAUCUUUGAACGCACAUUGCGCCCUUUGGUAUUCCUUAGGGCAUGCCUGUUCGAGCGUCAUCUAAACCUUCAAGCCCUGCUUGGUGUUGGGUGCCUGUCCCGCCUCCGCGCGCGGACUCACCUCAAAUCCAUUGGCGGCCCCCGCGUCGGCCACGAGCGCAGCAGAAACGCGAACUCGUGAGCCCGUCCGGGCGGCUCCCAGAAGCUACACCCACCCAGUUUGACCUCGGAUCAGGUAGGGAUACCCGCUGAACUUAAGC